CAGUCGCCACGGUAAUACGUAGGGUGCAAGCGUUGUCCGGAAUUAUUGGGCGUAAAGAGCUCGUAGGCGGUCUGUCGCGUCGAAUGUGAAAACCCGGGGCUCAACCCCGGGCCUGCAUUCGAUACGGGCAGACUAGAGUUCGGUAGGGGAGUCUGGAAUUCCUGGUGUAGCGGUGAAAUGCGCAGAUAUCAGGAGGAACACCGGUGGCGAAGGCGGGACUCUGGGCCGAUACUGACGCUGAGGAGCGAAAGCGUGGGGAGCGAACAGGAUUAGAUACCCGGGUAGUCCCUGUCUCUUAUAA
rnacentral:rRNA from 1 species